rnacentral:rRNA from 1 species
UACAGAGGGUGCGAGCGUUAAUCGGAAUUACUGGGCGUAAAGCGCGCGUAGGCGGCUUUGCAAGCCGGAUGUGAAAUCCCCGGGCUUAACCUGGGAACUGCAUUCGGGACUGCAUUGCUAGAGUAUGGGAGAGGGAAGUGGAGUUUCAGGUGUAGCGGUGAAAUGCGUAGAUAUCUGAAGGAACAUCAGUGGCGAAAGCGACUUCCUGGACCAAUACUGACGCUCAUGUGCGAAAGCGUGGGGAGCAAACAGG